rnacentral:rRNA from 1 species
CAUCCAGACUCCUACGGGAGGCAGCAGUGGGGGAUAUUGCACAAUGGGGGAAACCCUGAUGCAGCGACGCCGCGUGGGCGAAGAAGUAUUUCGGUAUGUAAAGCCCUAUCAGCAGGGAAGAAGAAAUGACGGUACCUGAGUAAGAAGCACCGGCUAAAUACGUGCCAGCAGCCGCGGUAAUACGUAUGGAGCAAGCGUUAUCCGGAUUUACUGGGUGUAAAGGGAGCGCAGGCGGCCUUGCAAGUCUGAUGUGAAAGGCCGGGGCCCAACCCCGGGACUGCAUUGGAAACUGUCAGGCUAGAGUGUCGGAGAGGCAAGUGGAAUUCCUAGUGUAGCGGUGAAAUGCGUAGAUGUUAGGAGGAACACCGGUGGCGAAGGCGGCUUGCUGGACGAUGACUGACGUUGAGGCUCGAAAGCGUGGGGAGCAAACAGGAUUAGAUACCCUUGUA